rnacentral:tRNA from 1 species
GCAGCGGUAUCGAAGUGGUCAUAACGGGGCUGACUCGAAAUCAGUUUGCGGGCAACCGCGCGUGGGUUCGAAUCCCACCCGCUGCGCCA